rnacentral:rRNA from 1 species
AGUGGACGCUGGCGGUAGGCCUAACACAUGCAAGUCGAACGGCAGCACAGUAAGAGCUUGCUCUUACGGGUGGCGAGUGGCGGACGGGUGAGGAAUACAUCGGAAUCUACUUUUUCGUGGGGGAUAACGUAGGGAAACUUACGCUAAUACCGCAUACGACCUACGGGCGAAAGCAGGGGAUCUUCGGACCUUGCGCGAUUGAAUGAGCCGAUGUCGGAUUAGCUAGUUGGCGGGGUAAAGGCCCACCAAGGCGACGAUCCGUAGCUGGUCUGAGAGGAUGAUCAGCCACACUGGAACUGAGACACGGCCCAGACUCCUACGGGAGGCAGCAGUGGGGAAUAUUGGACAAUGGGCGCAAGCCUGAUCCAGCCAUACCGCGUGGGUGAAGAAGGCCUUCGGGUUGUAAAGCCCUUUUGUUGGGAAAGAAAAGCAGCAGGUUAAUACCCCGCUGUUCUGACGGUACCCAAAGAAUAAGCACCGGCUAACUUCGU